UACACACAUACACACACAAUAUAAAAUUAUAAUAUAAUAGAGAGCAGUAACAAUUUCUCGAUAUAUUCUGAAGUUUUCAAAGCUACUUGGAGACAAUGUAAUUACAAUCGAAUUAGAUAUCAUAAUUAUACGUAUGUUACACGUGACUAUGAAUUAUGUACACAAAGAUAUGAUAAGAUUUAUUAUUGAAAUUUACAACAGCUAAUUAUCGAUAGAAUUCGAUUUUCGACUUCGCAAAAAAUCAAAUCAAUUAAAAUUAAUAAACAACGAGAGAGAAACAGGAACAAGAAAACCUAAUAUUAUUGUAGUUGACUAUCAUUCAUCGUAAAAGUGCAGAGUAAAUUGAAUUGGAAUUAAAAAUUAAGAUCAAUUGUUCUGAAAAGUUUGUCGAUGGAAUUCGCUGUCACCUUGUAUAAGCAGGAAAGUUGCAUUCCGCGUUUAGCAAGCGGGCCAAGAACAACACGGCGAAGAGUGACACAGAGCGCGUGUGCAAUGACACAGAUCCGCGUCUCCGAACCUCUUCCCUUUCUUCAAUCUCCUCCUCGUCAAUCUCUUUACAAACUAGGCCGGUGCAUCUACGCGAGAUAGAGGCCGCGUAAAUUUGAAGCCCGUGGCUUCCUCAGAAUUUUAUCUCCACGAAUUUUUCAAUGAUUUUUUCAUCCCAUUUUGUAUUUCAACUCUACAUUUUCACAUGUAAGAGACUCGCUGCAGAUUCGCAAUGGUAUUUGAAUAUAGAAUAUUUUUGAAUCCGAUUAAAAUGAGCUCUUACAUUGAAAGAGGCAGUUUGCGCUUCGACAGAACCUCGCUAGCUUACAUUUUCAACGAAUACAACUACUACAACUCUUAGUUUCGUAGAAGCAUUCGAACGGGUUACGUCAUCAAGCGUGAGAACCGUCCGUGAUCCUUCUAGGACCCCAGAAUAGGAUCCCUUCCUCCUUACGGCAAGAGGGCCGGCCGAUAGAAAUCGGCUUCGUGGGUAGGCGGGUGCGAACCGUUCGAGGGGCGAGGGAGGAGCACGCAGAAUGGUAUUUCCGUUGCGUUGUAUCGCUUGUCCAUUUGGCAGGCUUCAGGUUUGGCCAGGAGCAUGCGCACAACGUGCGUCCACCUACCCGCUCAUCUACCUGCCUACUAAUCCGUCUGCCUGUUUACCGGUUUGCCUUGAUCCCCUGAAUAAUCAGUAGGUGGGUUGGUAAGUAAGUAGGUACGACUCUCUUACGUAAGCUUAUACCGCCGCAUAUAUGCCUGAUCAGCAAGAAUGAAAGACGAACAGAGAGAGAAAGAGAGAGAGAGAGAAAUAGGAAGACAUAGCAAGAGGACGAAUGAGAAUGAGUUUCUCAACGAUCACUUUAUAAUCCAGGUACGGCACAUGAUGCGGCAAGACGAUGCGAUAUCGAGGCCAACGAGUAAAAUUAGAUAGCGAGGAUGGAAUCCGAGCGCCGGUAUGCGAAAUGGAAACGGAAACGGCUUCGGUCGCUUAUACGAAAGAUGGCCGCAAUGCGAUGCCGCGCAAGAAAAUGGCGCUUUAGCAUCCGUAAAUGGUCGGUUGCGCAUAUCUCACGCUCCCUCGCGUGACAGAGCGAAAUAUUAUAGCACGCGCUAUAUUUUUUUUUUCCUCUUUUAUCGUCAAACAAAUUAAAAUCGGAAUAUAAAUUCAAAAUUCGUUGAUAUCCAAGGAAUUUUAUUCAACUUUUCCCUCAUUAACGCGCGAAUAGACACAAUGCGGCCGACAUGAGAUUUCAUAACGAGUUGUUAGAUUAUCGAAACUACAAUCUGUCGAUAAUCCUUGCGCGCGAGUAAAAACGAAGCAGCACAAGGCAAACCGGUUCCAUUUUUCUCUCCUCCGCGAAAGACACAUGUACAUACGCCUCACUCCUCUUCCGGCUAUUUUUUCCUCGAUAGCCAUAUUCCAAAUUCUAUCUCACCCGUUAAAUUCUGCCAGAUCAGCCAUUUACGUUACGACACGCGCGUAAAAACGAAACGAUAAAAGCUUCUUUGUGACUAACUUUCGAACAGAUUUCGUCAAUUAUGUAUUACGAGUAAAUGGAGUUUAACCACAUAUACCCGUACAUACAAAUGGACACACGAUUGCGUUGCAUAACAUAUAUUUAAAUACUGGCCAAGGCAUUACCACAAAUACUAUUUGCUUGAACGUAAAGCAACAUGCGUGUGCGCGCGUGUGUAGUUGGCUAUACACUGAGUUUUCCACAAAUAACUUAAAAAGUAUACUCCAGAAAAUAUUCAAGAAAAAGAAACGGUAAGGAUAUAUGAACGAUAUUAUUAUAUUUAUUGUUUUAUAAUAUUUAUUAAUUUCUUAUUGAUUUAUAACGAAAUGUCGUUCUUGAUUACAUUGUUGAGCAAUUUAGAAAGUAUUUAUAGUUGUUACGAUAUAUCUUAUAUAUCGUCUAUAAUUGCUUAUUUAGAAAGUGCGUUUAAAAAUUUUUAUAGCGACGCAGAUAAACUUAUAUGAUGAUUUAUGUUUAAAUAAUUGUCAUCUGUUCUCGUGUGAUUAACCAUAUCUAGCAUUACUCAUUACCGAUUACUCAUUAUCAAUCGUAAAAUUAUACUAAAAACAAUGUAUGAACAGGCUCGCAAUAUUAGUUAGUUAGUCGAUGCUAUAACUAAGAUUUUAUACAUUAUCGAUUCUAAGUCUUGGCCUUAUAGGUACGAAAAAAAAGAUUAGCAUGCCUUGUGUGAAAAUACCAAGUUAUAAAUAAAUAUACGAGUUGCGGGCAAUUAAUAUACAUGCAUGGAUACAAAUAUUUUCGAAUUAAAUAAAAAAAAUGUCUAAUGAAAUCACAGAUUUUAUUAAGAAUGUAAUUAUGCAGAGCCGACUUUUGCAGUUUGUUUAAGUUAUGAAAUCUAUUUAGUUUAUAACAUACAAAAAAUAAUAAUUAUAUCAAAAAGAAUAUAUAAAAUUUUUAUUUUUUUAUAUAAUUUUUCUUGUGUGAAGUACAGAUGAAGUACACAUUAUAUGGAAUACAAUAAUGAUUAUAAAAAUAGAAUAAAUAUGGUAGUAUAACUUUUAAAACGUGCCCUAAUUAUAAAUGAAGAGAGAAUUACGCGAGCUUAAAUAAUGAAGAAAACAAAUUUAACUUAUAAAUUAAAUUAAGUAUUCAUUAAACUUAUAAAUACACCAUGCAUGUAUUAAGAACGUAAAACAGGUAGCAAAAGAAAGGAAAAUACUGAUAAUUCUUUUCAAGAUUUCUUAAUCACCGCGCGUAGCAAUAAAAAAAAAAAAAAA